rnacentral:rRNA from 1 species
GAUGGACGCUGGCGGCGUGCCUAAUACAUGCAAGUCGAGCGAACAGACGAGGAGCUUGCUCCUCUGACGUUAGCGGCGGACGGGUGAGUAACACGUGGAUAACCUACCUAUAAGACUGGGAUAACUUCGGGAAACCGGAGCUAAUACCGGAUAAUAUAUUGAACCGCAUGGUUCAAUAGUGAAAGACGGUUUUGCUGUCACUUAUAGAUGGAUCCGCGCUGCAUUAGCUAGUUGGUAAGGUAACGGCUUACCAAGGCAACGAUGCGUAGCCGACCUGAGAGGGUGAUCGGCCACACUGGAACUGAGACACGGUCCAGGCGCCUACGGGAGGCAGCAGUAGGGAAUCUUCCGCAAUGGGCGAAAGCCUGACGGAGCAACGCCGCGUGAGUGAUGAAGGUCUUCGGAUCGUAAAACUCUGUUAUUAGGGAAGAACAGAUGUGUAAGUAACUGUGCACGUCUUGACGGUACCUAAUCAGAAAGCCACGGCUAACUACGUG